AAGUCGUAACAAGGUUUCCGUAGGUGAACCUGCGGAAGGAUCAUUAACACAAUACUUUCUAUUAUCAAUAACCUUUGUGCACUGUCGGAGCCUUCUUUAACGUGGGGUCGACUAGAUCAUGGUUGGAAUGCGGUCUAGCCUGCUGUCAAGUUUCCCCGUCAUUCAUUCUUCCUCGGAAGGGUGUCUAGGCGAUCGGUUUAACGCCCCGUUUUCGAAGGUGAAACAGCCUCAACCAUGGCUGUGCCCUAUUUUUUUUUUAACCUCUUGAUUUUUGUACUGAUUUGGGCUGUUGUUGAUUGAGAGGAGCGAUCCUUUCUCAUUGCAGCUUGUGUUGAAUGCUUGUCAUUCUAUCACUAACCAAAACACAACUCUUAACAGUGGAUAUCUCGGUUCUC
rnacentral:misc_RNA from 1 species